CGCAUCUGUGCAUGCAGCAUAUCAAUAAGCGGAGGAAAAGAAACUAACAAGGAUUCCCUAGUAACGGCGAGUGAAGCGGGAAGAGCUCAAAUUUGAAAUCUUAAAGGUUUUCCCUUGACGAAUUGUAGUUUAAAGAAGUGUUUUCUGUUGAAGUUUUGGUAAAAGUUCUUUGGAAUAGGACAUCAUAGAGGGUGAGAAUCCCGUAUUUGACCAUUACUUUCAGCUUUGUGAUACACUUUCAAAGAGUCGGAUUGUUUGGGAAUGCAGUCCAAAAUGGGUGGUAAAUUUCAUCUAAAGCUAAAUAUUGGCGAGAGACCGAUAGCGAACAAGUACCGUGAGGGAAAGAUGAAAAGAACUUUGGAAAAGAGAGUUAAACAGUACGUGAAAUUGUCAAAAGGGAAGCGUUUGACACCAGUGUUGUUUUCUCGAAAAUCAAUUAAAAUGACUGAUUUAUGCUAUUUGUUGAGACCUUUAUCAAGCUAACUGUUAAUUUUUGAGCUUUCUUUAAUGCACUUUUCGUUUAACAAGUCAACAUCAGUUUCUUUUGUUGUAAAAGGGUCAUUGGAAGGUGGCUUUCUUUUCGGAGAAAGUGUUUAUAGCCUUUGGCCUCUGCAAUCGGAAGAGACUGAGGUCUGCAGCGUAGACUCUUCGGGGUUAGAUACAUUUGCUGCUAAGUUAUAGCUUUUUAUAGACAACUUGUUGACUAUAAUUAGUCUUGUAGCUUACUCGCUUAUGUUAUUUUACCUACGCUUAGGAUGUUGAUAGUCACAGCGUGUAC
rnacentral:rRNA from 1 species